rnacentral:rRNA from 1 species
AGCGUAGGCGGAUAGUUCAGUCAGAGGUGAAAGCCCAGGGCUCAACCUUGGAAUUGCCUUUGAUACUGGCUGUCUUGAGUAUGGGAGAGGUUAGCGGAACUCCGAGUGUAGAGGUGAAAUUCGUAGAUAUUCGGAAGAACACCAGUGGCGAAGGCGGCUAACUGGCCCAUUACUGACGCUGAGGCUCGAAAGCGUGGGGAGCAAACAGGAUUAGAUACCCUGGUAGUCCACGCCGUAAACGAUGAGUGCUAGUUGUCGGCAUGCAUGCAUGUCGGUGACGCAGCUAACGCAUUAAGCACUCCGCCUGGGGAGUACGGUCGCAAGAUUAAA